AACAAACGCUGGCGGCGUGCAUAACACAUGCAAGUCUGACGGGAAAGUCGGCUUCGGCUGGCAAGUACCGUGGCGGACGGGUGAGUAACGCGUGAGGAGCUGUCCUAUGCAGGGGGACAACAGUUGGAAACGACUGCUAAUACCCCAUAAGCCGAGAGGUAAAAGGAUUUAUCCGGCAAAGGAGGUACUCGCGUCCUAUCAGCUAGUAGGUGAGGUAACGGCUCGCCUAGGCGAAGACGGGUAGCCGGCCUGAGAGGGCGAACGGCCACACUGGAACUGAGAUACGGUCCAGACUCCUACGGGAGGCAGCAGUGGGGAAUUUUGGGCAAUGGGGGCAACCCUGACCCAGCGACGCCGCGUGGGUGAAGAAAUCCUUCGGGAUGUAAAGCCCUGUUGUAUGGGAAGAGCAGAAGACGGUACCAUACGAGGAAGCCCCGGCAAACUACGUGCCAGCCGCCGCAGUAAAAC
rnacentral:rRNA from 1 species